UAGCGAAGGGGGCUAGCGUUGUUCGGAAUUACUGGGCGUAAAGCGCACGUAGGCGGAUAUUUAAGUCAGGGGUGAAAUCCCGGGGCUCAACCCCGGAACUGCCUUUGAUACUGGGUAUCUCGAGUCCGAGAGAGGUGAGUGGAAUUCCGAGUGUAGAGGUGAAAUUCGUAGAUAUUCGGAGGAACACCAGUGGCAGAAGGCGGCUCACUGGCUCGGUACUGACGCUGAGGUGCGAAAGCGUGGGGAGCAAACAGG
rnacentral:rRNA from 1 species